GCCUACGGGGGGCAGCAGUAGGGAAUCUUCCACAACGGGCGAAAGCCUGAUGGAGCAACGCCGCGUGGGUGAAGAAGGUCUUCGGAUCGUAAAACCCUGUUGUUAGAGAAGAAAGUGCGUGAGAGUAACUGUUCACGUUUCGACGGUAUCUAACCAGAAAGCCACGGCUAACUACGUGCCAGCAGCCGCGGUAAUACGUAGGUGGCAAGCGUUAUCCGGAUUUAUUGGGCGUAAAGGGAACGCAGGCGGUCUUUUAAGUCUGAUGUGAAGGCCUUCGGCUUAACCGGAGUAGUGCAUUGGAAACU
rnacentral:rRNA from 1 species